rnacentral:rRNA from 1 species
CACGGAAUUAGCCGGUCCUUAUUCAUGUGAUACAUGCAAAUAAGUAUACAUACCUAACUUUAUUCUCACAUAAAAGCAGUUUACAACCCAUAGGGCCGUCAUCCUGCACGCUACUUGGCUGGUUCAGAUUUGCAUCCAUUGACCAAUAUUCCUCACUGCUGCCUCCCGUAGGAGUUUGGACCGUGUCCCAGUUCCAAUGUGGGGGACCUUCCUCUCAGAACCCCUACUGAUCGAAGUCUUGGUGAGCCGUUACCUCACCAACAAACUAAUCAGACGCAUCCCCAUCCAAUACCGAAAUUCUUUAAUGUAUAAAUCAUGAGAAAAUACAUACCAUCAGGAAUUAGUCCGUCUUCAACGGGUUAUGCCUGAGUAUUGGGUAGGUUGGAUACGCGUUACUCACCCGUGCGCCGGUCGCAUCAUUGUGCAAGCAACAUAUGCUGCCCCUCGACUUGCAUGUAGUUAACGCCUGUACGCUAGGCGUUCAGU